GUCAAGUAACUAAGCGCAUACGAUGGAUGCCUUGGCUGGCAGAGGCGAUGAAAGACGUAAUAGCCUGCGAUAAGCUCGGGGGAGCUGGCAAAUAAGCUUUGAUCCCGAGAUCUCUGAAUGGGGAAACCCAGUUUGUGUAAGCAAACUAUCGUUAACUGAAUACAUAGGUUAACGAGGCAAACCCGGGGAACUGAAACAUCUAAGUACCCGGAGGAAAAGAAAUCAACCGAGAUUCCCUCAGUAGCGGCGAGCGAACGGGGACCAGCCCU
rnacentral:rRNA from 1 species